UUUUGUCAUCGAAGUACUGGUGAAAGCACCGGUUCUCGUCCGAUCACCGUAGUUAAGCUCAGUAGGGCACGGCUAGUACUUGGAUUGGUGACCGCCUGGGAAUACCGUGUGCUGUAGGCA
rnacentral:rRNA from 2 species